rnacentral:rRNA from 1 species
UAGGGAAUCUUCCACAAUGGACGAAAGUCUGAUGGAGCAACGCCGCGUGAGUGAAGAAGGGUUUCGGCUACGUAAAACUCUGUUGUUAAAGAAGAACAUAUCUGAGAGUAACUGUUCAGGUAUUGACGGUAUUUAACCAGAAAGCCACGGCUAACUACGUACCAG